rnacentral:rRNA from 1 species
UUGAACGCUGGCGGCAGGCCUAACACAUGCAAGUCGAGCGGAUGAAGGGAGCUUGCUCCUGGAUUCAGCGGCGGACGGGUGAGUAAUGCCUAGGAAUCUGCCUGGUAGUGGGGGAUAACGUCCGGAAACGGGCGCUAAUACCGCAUACGUCCUGAGGGAGAAAGUGGGGGAUCUUCGGACCUCACGCUAUCAGAUGAGCCUAGGUCGGAUUAGCUAGUUGGUGGGGUAAAGGCCUACCAAGGCGACGAUCCGUAACUGGUCUGGGAGGAUGAUCAGUCACACUGGAACUGAGACACGGUCCAGACUCCUACGGGAGGCAGCAGUGGGGAAUAUUGGACAAUGGGCGAAAGCCUGAUCCAGCCAUGCCGCGUGUGUGAAGAAGGUCUUCGGAUUGUAAAGCACUUUAAGUUGGGAGGAAGGGCAGUAAGUUAAUACCUUGCUGUUUUGACGUUACCAACAGAAUAAGCACCGGCUAACUUCGUG